CUGACUUUAUUAGGUGAGACCUUAACGGGAACACCUCCAAAGCUUUCCUGUUGGUCUGGGAGAAAGCAAGCAGCCACACCCCUGGAGGGCACCACAGGGCCAGGGACUGCCUUCCGGGUCUCUAGCAGCUGAGUGUGGCCUCUGGUUGACAGUCCUCAAGGAAGCAGGUACCUCAGUGCUACUACCACAAGGUGCUGGAUUCUGCCAACCAUUCAAAUGAGCCAGCCAGCUCCCACCAUGAUUUCAGUCCAGGGUAACCCUGGCCAGAGGACCUCACCCCACUGCACCUGGAAUCUUGGACCCUGGAAACUGAGAUGACAGGACUUCAGGGAUGCAGGCCAAGCUCCAGAAGUCCAAGCCCACCUGGGGGCUGUGACCCAAGAAUGGGACCCAACAGCUUUAGCUCCGUACUCUCUGGCUCUAGCCCAGCUCACAGAACUCCCGAGGGGCCACCACUGUCCCCCCAGAUACCUCCACUGACUCAUCGGCCCCCCAGGGUGUCUGCUGGUGGUCGGUGGCAGCCCUCCUUCUCCACCUUGAGGUUCCCAAGCACAUCUGCCUCUGGCUGCUGAUGCCACCUCUGCAGGCUCAGAGCUGCUGCCCUGCCCCAGGCUACGGCCCCUGCCUGUUGUUGCUCCUCCCUCUGAGUGGCAGUGCCUGCAGCUCACUGGGGUCUCACAGCUGGAGUGCUGUAGGUAUAUCCUCUAUUCACCGGGAAAAUGUCUGUGUUGGGCUACACACCAGGAUCCCUGGGGCCCAGCUUUUUCCUGCCACCUCUUCUAGAUCUUUCCCCUAACCCACAGUCCUGGCUUAUCUCCCUGGGAGCCUGAGAACCCUCUGAGGCACUCCACAGUGCUUCACUCAAAUCAUUCUUUCCCUUCCGUGCCCACGCAAACCUGUGCCUCAGGCAAGCCUUUCUCUCGUCAAGGGUGGCAAAGACUGUCUCCUUGAUAAAAUUUUAACCAGGCUCCUCUGAACCCUCUUUCCACCUAGAUCUUGGCCUUGGUCUGUCCUUAGCAGGCUAAGCCCAGUUUUAGCAAAGAAUCCUACUAACUCAGUUGAUGAAAAUCUUCCUAUCCUUGAUAGCUGAUCAAACUCCUCUUCCUCCACCCCUGAUUCCUACCCAAACUCCUCCCAGUAAUUUUCCCUCCACCCCUUCUCCCUGCUUUCUGUAAAUUCCUGCUUGCCCCUGGUAUAUUCCAAGUUGAGUUCAAUCUCUCUCCCCUGCUGCAAUAAUCCCAAAUAAAGUCUUGCAA
rnacentral:lncRNA from 1 species